GAAAACAUGCAAAGGAUCGAAGAAUUUUAGAGAGAGAAAGUAGAGAGAAGGGAGAGCAACGGAAGAGUCUCGAAGAGACUCAGAUAUUAUUUCAGAGAAAAAUGACCCAUCGGUUUACACAAACGACCCCUGACCCCUAUAUAUCAAAUAGCCCUCUUGCAAAUAUAGCCUAGUUAUUACAGAAAUGGCCUAAUUACACAAAUAACCUAAUUACAGAAAUAUACUAAUUACAAAGAUAGCCUAAUUACACAAGUAGCCUAAGUAGCCUAUUAGGCUCAGAUAUGAC
rnacentral:lncRNA from 1 species